rnacentral:rRNA from 1 species
GGGCGACGGUUGUCCCGGUUUAAGCGUGUAGGUGUGUGUUCCAGGUAAAUCCGGUUCACUUUAACACUGAGGCGUGAUGACGAGGCACUACGGUGCUGAAGUAACAAAUGCCCUGCUUCCAGGAAAAGCCUCUAAGCAUCAGGUAACAUCAAAUCGUACCCCAAACCGACACAGGUGGUCAGGUAGAGAAUACCAAGGCGCUUGAGAGAACUCGGGUGAAGGAACUAGGCAAAAUGGUGCCGUAACUUCGGGAGAAGGCACGCUGACACGUAGGUGAAGUGAUUUACUCACGGAGCUGAAGUCAGUCGAAGAUACCAGCUGGCUGCAACUGUUUAUUAAAAACACAGCACUGUGCAAACACGAAAGUGGACGUAUACGGUGUGACGCCUGCCCGGUGCCGGAAGGUUAAUUGAUGGGGUCAGCGCAAGCGAAGCUCCUGAUCGAAGCCCCGGUAAACGGCGGCCGUAACUAUAACGGUCCUAAGGUAGCGAAAUUCCUUGUCGGGUAAGUUCCGACCUGCACGAAUGGCGUAAUGAUGGCCAGGCUGUCUCCACCCGAGACUCAGUGAAAUUGAACUCGCUGUGAAGAUGCAGUGUACCCGCGGCAAGACGGAAAGACCCCGUGAACCUUUACUAUAGCUUGACACUGAACAUUGAGCCUUGAUGUGUAGGAUAGGUGGGAGGCUUUGAAGUGUGGACGCCAGUCUGCAUGGAGCCGACCUUGAAAUACCACCCUUUAAUGUUUGAUGUUCUAACGUGGACCCGUUACCCGGGUUGCGGACAGUGUCUGGUGGGUAGUUUGACUGGGGCGGUCUCCUCCUAAAGAGUAACGGAGGAGCACGAAGGUUGGCUAAUCCUGGUCGGACAUCAGGAGGUUAGUGCAAUGGCAUAAGCCAGCUUGACUGCGAGCGUGACGGCGCGAGCAGGUGCGAAAGCAGGUCAUAGUGAUCCGGUGGUUCUGAAUGGAAGGGCCAUCGCUCAACGGAUAAAAGGUACUCCGGGGAUAACAGGCUGAUACCGCCCAAGAGUUCAUAUCGACGGCGGUGUUUGGCACCUCGAUGUCGGCUCAUCACAUCCUGGGGCUGAAGCAGGUCCCAAGGGUAUGGCUGUUCGCCAUUUAAAGUGGUACGCGAGCUGGGUUUAGAACGUCGUGAGACAGUUCGGUCCCUAUCUGCCGUGGGCGCUGGAGAACUGAGGGGGGCUGCUCCUAGUACGAGAGGACCGGAGUGGACGCAUCACUGGUGUUCGGGUUGUCAUGCCAAUGGCACUGCCCGGUAGCUAAAUGCGGAAGAGAUAAGUGCUGAAAGCAUCUAAGCACGAAACUUGCCCCGAGAUGAGUUCUCCCUGAGACUUAGAGUCUCCUGAAGGAACGUUGAAGACGACGACGUUGAUAGGCCGGGUGUGUAAGCGCAGCGAUGCGUUGAGCUAACCGGUACUAAUGAACCGUGAGGCUUAACC